GACGAACGCUGGCGGCGUGCUUAACACAUGCAAGUCGAACGGAAAGGCUCCAGCUUGCUGGAGUGCUCGAGUGGCGAACGGGUGAGUAACACGUGGGCAAUCUGCCCUGCACUCUGGGAUAAGCCUGGGAAACUGGGUCUAAUACCGGAUAGGACCUUUCUCCUCAUGGGGUUUGGUGGAAAGUUUUUCGGUGCAGGAUGAGCCCGCGGCCUAUCAGCUUGUUGGUGGGGUAAUGGCCUACCAAGGCGACGACGGGUAGCCGGCCUGAGAGGGUGAUCGGCCACAUUGGGACUGAGAUACGGCCCAGACUCCUACGGGAGGCAGCAGUGGGGAAUAUUGCACAAUGGGCGAAAGCCUGAUGCAGCGACGCCGCGUGAGGGAUGACGGCCUUCGGGUUGUAAACCUCUUUCAGUAGGGACGAAGCGCAAGUGACGGUACCUGCAGAAGAAGCACCGGCUAACUACGU
rnacentral:rRNA from 1 species